rnacentral:rRNA from 1 species
UGGAUUAGUGGCGAACGGGUGAGUAACACGUGAGUAACCUGCCCUCCACUUUGGGAUAACUCCGAGAAAUCGGGGCUAAUACUGGAUAUGACCUUGGCCCGCAUGGUUGUGGUGGAAGUUUUCGGUGUGGGAUGGGCUCGCGGCCUAUCAGUUUGUUGGUGAGGUAGUGGCUCACCAAGGCGAUGACGGGUAGCCGGCCUGAGAGGGCGACCGGCCACACUUGGACUGAGACACGGCCCAG